GCAUCGAUGGUUCAGCGGUAAAAUGCUCGCCCUUCACGCGGGCGGCCCGGGUUCGAUUCCCGGCCGAUGCA